AUGCUAGCUUCCCAGCUAACGUUCUCUCUGUCCCUCUCCUCCCUUCCCCCCUCUCUCUCGCUUUCACCCUCUUUUCUGCGUGCUGCUGCCGCUCCUGCUGUUCCCUCUUCUCCUCCACUGCUCCAUCCCUCAUUCGCUCCUGCUCUUCGUCUGUGGAUCUAUCCAUCCAUUGGACUCCUCCUCCUCCUCUCCCUCCUUCCGUCCAUCCGUCCGUUGAUCUGUCCAUCACCACCAGUAUGUCCUCCUGCAGAGCCCGUUGAUGUUCACGGAGCAGAUGCAGCAGGAUGUCAUCAUGGUGUUGAAGUUCCCCAGCAACUCUCCCGUGGCCCACGUGGCCGCCAACACCCAGCCGGGCCUCGCCACGCCCGCCAUCAUCACCGUCACCGCCAACCGCCUCUUCGCCGUCAACAAGUGGCACGGCCUGGCCGGUCAUCAAGGCUCCUCUGUGCAGGACCAGCAGUACCAACUGCCCGUGGAAAUCGACCCUCUGAUAGGUAUGCCACUUGUGUGUGGUUUUUGUGCGCGCACUUGCGGGGGUCACUGCGUGUGUGUAUAUGCAUUAAAGUGAGUGUGCGUGUGUAUGUAUCUCUGUGUGUCUAUGCACACGUGUGUGUGUGUGUGUGUGUGUGUGUGUGUGUGUGUUUGUAUGUUGGUGUGUGUGUGUGUGUGUGUGUGUGUGCAUGUGUUUGUAUGUUGGUGUGUGUGCUCAAACGUGUGUGUGUCUCUCUCUCUGUCUCUCUGUCUUUGUGUGUCUCUGGGAUUCAUUGUGAUGGCCCAAGGCAGUGUCCCUGGCCUGUAGCUCGCUGUUGUUUCCCAGCCUCUGCCCACCAACAGCCCCCACCCCCGUCCUCUCAUCCCCUGAAAUAAAUCCUCCACUCUGCUCUCUCCUCUGCUAAACCAUUUGCAUGUAAAUUGGAAUGCAAUGAGCUGUGGCCUGGACUGGUAUUACAUCAUCAAGCUCUCCCCCUCUCCUCUAUCUCUCUCUCUCUCCAUCUCUCUCUUUCUCUCUCUCACAGUUUUUCUUACUCUCUCUCUGGUUUAAUUUGAGCGGGGGAAAGGAUCUGUGUCAGUAUAAAUUAAUAUGAAUGCAGUAAUAAUGUGUGAUUGAGUGCGCGGCGGGCGGAUGUCAGGACAAUAUGGGCGCCUCUCAUCACUCACGACUUGUUGAUGAGGAGGCGAGCAGAGCAGAGGAGCGUUAGUGAUGUAUAGGAUCCACUGUCUGGGAGAGAGUGGUCAGAGACAGAGCUCUAGUGAUGUAUAGGAUCCACUGUCUGGGAGAGAGUGGUCAGAGACAGAGCUCUAGUGAUGUAUAGGAUCCACUGUCUGGGAGAGAGUGGUCAGAGACAGAGCUCUAGUGAUGUAUAGGAUCCACUGUCUGGGAGAGAGUGGUCAGAGACAGAGCUCUAGUGAUGUAUAGGAUCCACUGUCUGGGAGAGAGUGGUCAGAGACAGAGCUCUAGUGAUGUAUAGGAUCCACUGUCUGGGAGAGAGUGGUCAGAGACAGAGCUCUAGUGAUGUAUAGGAUCCACUGUCUGGGAGAGAGUGGUCAGAGACAGAGCUCUAGUGAUGUAUAGGAUCCACUGUCUGGGAGAGAGUGGUCAGAGACAGAGCUCUAGUGAUGUAUAGGAUCCACUGUCUGGGAGAGAGUGGUCAGAGACAGAGCUCUAGUGAUGUAUAGGAUCCACUGUCUGGGAGAGAGUGGUCAGAGACAGAGCUCUAGUGAUGUAUAGGAUCCACUGUCUGGGAGAGAGUGGUCAGAGACAGAGCUCUAGUGAUGUAUAGGAUCCACUGUCUGGGAGAGAGUGGUCAGAGACAGAGCUCUAGUGAUGUAUAGGAUCCACUGUCUGGGAGAGAGUGGUCAGAGACAGAGCUCUAGUGAUGUGGUCAGAGGCAGAGCUCUCGCUCUCCUUUAUUGUUCUCUCUCUCCUCUUGUUUUCUCUCAUUCUUCCUCUUUCCGUUGCUCUCUAGUUGCUCUCUUGACCUCGCAAAUGUUCUCUCUCCUUUUCUUCACUCUCUCUCGCUCUCAUUCUCGAUCUCGUCCAGCACACAUACGUUUCCUCUAACGGUUGUCUAGUUAAAAUGUCAUUCCCACCAGCUCAUCUCCAUCCAGAUCCAUUUCUCCCCUUUUAUGGCCCUCCUUUUUAUAUACUGUGUGUGUGUGUGUGUCUGUGUGUGUGUGUGUGUGUGUGUGUGUGUGUGUGUGUGUGUGUGUGUGUGUGUGUGUGUGUGUGUGUGUGUGUGUGUGUGUGUGUGUGUGUGUGUGUGUGUGUGUGUGUGUGUGUGUCGUAUCACAUUUUAUUUGUCACAUAUUUAGUAAACAACAGGUGUAGACUAACAGUGAAAUGCUUACUUACAGGCCCUUCCCAACAAUGCAGAGAGAAAGAAAAUAGAGAAAUAAUAGAAAAGUAAAACACGUAAUAAUAAAAGUAAUAAUAGAUACACAAUGAGUAACAAUAUCUUGGCUAUAUACACAAGGUACCAGUACAGAGUCGAUGUGCAGGGGUACGAGGUAAAUGACGUAGAUAUGUUCAUAUAACUAGGAAUAAAGUAACAGAUAGUAAACAGUAGCAGCAGCGUAUGUGAUGAGACAAAAGAGUUGGUGCAAAAGGGUCAAUGCAGAUAGUCCAGUUAGGUAUUGGGUUAACUAUUUAACUAACUAGUUAGCAGUGUUAUGGCUUGGGGGGGUAGAAGCUGUUCAGGGUUCUGUUGGUUCCAGACUUGGUUCAUCGGUACCACUUGCUGUGCGGUAGCAGAGAGAACAGUCAAUGACUUGGGUGGUUGGAGACUUUGACAAUUUUUAGGGCCUUCCUCUGACACCGCCUGGUAUAGAGGUCCUGGAUGGCAGGAAGCUUGGCCCCAGUGAUGUACAUGGCUGUGCGCACUACCCUCUGUAGAGCCUUGCAGCUAGAUGCCAAGCAGUUGCCAUACCAAGCGGUGAUGCAGCCAGUCAAGAUGCUCUCAAUGGUGUAGCCGUAGAACUUUUUGAGGAUCUGGGGACCCAUGCCAAAUCUUUUCAGGCUCCUGAGGGGGAAGAGGUGUUGUUGUGCCCCCACACGACUGUGUUGGUUUGUGUGGACCAUGAUAGAUCUGUAGUGAUGUGGACACAGAGGAACUUGACGCUCUCGAACCUGCUCCACUACAGCCCCGUCCAUGUGAAUGGGGGGCGUGCUCGUCCCUCCGUUUCCUGUAGUCCACGAUCAGCUCCUUGGUCUUACUGGCGUUGAGGGAGAGGUUGUUGUUCUGGCACCACACUGCUAAGUCUCUGACCUCCUCCGUAUAGGCUGUCUGAUCGUAGUCUGUGAUCAGGCCUACCAAUGUUGUGUCGUUGGCAAACUCACCAACUGGGACGGCCCGUCAGGAAAUCCAGGAUCCAGUGUUCGGUUCCAGGGUCCUUAGCUUAGUGAUGAGCUUGGAGGGCACUAUUGUGUUGAACGCUGUGCUGUAGUCAAUGAAUAGCAUUCUCACAUAGGUGUUCCUUUUGUCCAGGUGGGAAAGGGCAGUGUGGAGUGCAAUAGAGAUUGUGUCAUCUGUGGAUCUGUUGGGGCGGUAUGUGAAUUGGAGUGGGUCCAGGGUGUCUGGGAGGAUGGUGUUGAUGUGAGCCAUGACCAGCCUUUCAAAGCAUUUCAUUGCUACAGAUGUGAGUCCUUUGGGGCGAUAGUCUUUUAUACAGGUUACUACGGUGAUCUUAGGCACAGGGACUCUGGUGGUCUUCUUGAAACAUGUAGGUGUUACAGACUGGGUCAGGGAGAGGUUGAAAAUAUCAGUGAAGACACUUGUCAGCUCUGAGUAUGUGUUCUGGUAAUCUGUCUGGCCCUGCGGCCUUGAGUGUUAAUUAACCUGUUUAAGGUCUUACAUCGGCUACAGCUCUCAUGCAUGGUUCAGUGUUGCUUGCCUCUGUACACUUAUUACUGAAGCCAGUGACUGAUGUGGUAAACUCCUACUGGAACAUAUUCCAGUCUGCGCUAGCGAAACAGGCCUGUAGCUUAGAAUCCGCUUCAUCUGGUACAUCCUGUUUGAGUUUUUCCUUGUAAGCAAGAAUCAGAAGGAUAGAGUUAUGGUCAGAUUUGCCAAAUGGAGGGCGAGGGAAAGCUUUGUAUGCGUUUCUGUGUGUGGAGUGAAGGUGAUGUAGGGUUUUUUCGCCUCUAGUUGCACACGUGAACAUGGGCACUUUCAUAGAUGUUCAUGCAUAUGUCUGAGGCCAUUCUACCAUUUUUGAAUAAUAUAAAAAAGCCCCUCUUUUAAAAAUGUUUUUCUUCACACUCGGAAUGCACGACUGACUAUCUCUGCAGCUCACUCAGCUCUGUUUUGUCAUUUUUCAGCACCAGCCCACGUUCCACAUCACAUGUGUAAUGCGUGUAGUGAGGUGCUAUUUUCUUAACGUGUCAUUUAUGUAUUUAUACUUCUCACAUUCCACAAGGAGCUUCAGUUUAAACACAGUAAAUUGUAUUUGACUGGCGGGGCGGCCGUGGCGGGGGGAAAUGUUGAUAAUUGGUUGAAAUAUUCGUCAGACAUGGCGUGCUGGUCUCUGUCAGGGAUGCCUGGGCCGGACCAACACCUGUUCAUCUUGAGUUAGAGCAGAAGAGAAAGAGAAGAGAGCCUGAGAGAAAGGGAGGAUAAAGUUACAGAAGUCUAGGACCUAAUGUGCCUGUUUGUUCCCUGGACACAGAUUAAGUCUAGUCCUGGACUAAAAAUGAUUUUUUUAUAGAGAUUCUGAUAAUGAUUUAGAAUUAGACUUCAUCUUUGUCCGGGAAACUGGCACAGCAUAUCUUAAUAUCUUACCGACUACAAAGCACUUUAUGAUAGAUGGCUACGUCUGUAAGGCCAAGAAAAUGCAUGUCCAAAACAGACAUGGCUCUGCCUUUGUUUUAGUCUGUUAUCUCUGUCUUUUUUCUCUCUCUGUUUCUCUUUCUUGCUCUCUCACUCUCCCUCGCUCUCCCUCGCCCUCCCUCGCUCUCCCUCGCUCUCCCUCGCCCUCCCUCGCCCUCCCUCGCCCUCCCUCGCCCUCCCUCGCCCUCUGUCUGUCUCUGUCUGUCUCUGUCUGUCUCUGUCUGUCUCUGUCUGUCUCUGUCUGUCUCUGUCUGUCUGUCUCUGUCUGUCUGUCUCUGUCUGUCUGUCUCUGUCUGUCUCUGUCUGUCUGUCUGUCUGUCUCUGUCUGUCUGUCUCUGCUCUGUCUCUCUGUCUCUCUCUCUCUGUCUCUCUCUCUCUGUCCCUGUCUCUCUCUCUCCCUCUCCCCAACAAACCUCCAACUCAGCGAUAAGUGGCCAAAUUGGAUUUAAUUUAUGUUGUCCUGACUAUGCGUGACUCCUCUCCUCUUCUUAGCUAAAGGAAGUCUCUUCUCCUUCUGGGGAGAGAGAGAGAAUAUGCACGCUCAUCGUUACUCAAACUCUUAGGCCCAGUGGAAAAUGUGAAACCCUUGUAAACGCCACGUCCUAGAUGUUUUAUGUAUUCCCUCACAAAUCAAAAUGGUGCUGCUGCCGUGGCGACGAACGUGCGUAAUCGCCAUGCGUGACAAAUGUCGUAGUUGGUAGCUCCAGUAAUGGUCUGAUGUCUUUGUGAAAACGAUUAACGCAGCGAUAUCGUA
rnacentral:lncRNA from 8 species